rnacentral:rRNA from 1 species
AAUCAACGCUGGCGGCGUGCCUCAGACAUGCAAGUCGAACGAUUAAAGCUCUCUUCGGAGAGUGUAUAGAGUGGCGCACGGGUGAGUAACACGUAAGUAAUCUACCUUCGAGUGGGGAAUAACGUCCGGAAACGGACGCUAAUACCGCAUAAUGCAGCGGCAUCGCAAGAUGACAGUUGUUAAAGACUUUAUCGGCUUGAAGAGGAGCUUGCGGCAGAUUAGCUAGUUGGUAAGGUAACGGCUUACCAAGGCUACGAUCUGUAUCCGGUCUAAGAGGACGGUCGGACACACU